rnacentral:rRNA from 1 species
AUACGAAGGGUGCUAGCGUUGUUCGGAAUUACUGGGCGUAAAGAGCAUGUAGGCGGAUAGAUUAGUCAGAGGUGAAAGCCCCGAGCUCAACUCGGGAACUGCCUUUGAUACUGUUUAUCUAGAGACCGAGAGAGGUGAGUGGAAUUCUCAGUGUAGAGGUGAAAUUCGUAGAUAUUGGGAAGGACACCAGUGGCGAAGGCGGCUCACUGGCUCGGAACUGACGCUGAGAUGUGAAAGCGUAGGGAGCAAACAGGAUUAGAAACCCCAGUAGUCC